rnacentral:rRNA from 1 species
GACGGAGGGUGCAAGCGUUGUUCGGAUUGACUGGGCGUAAAGGGCGUGUAGGCGGUCGGCCAAGUCUGAUGUGAAAGCCCGAGGCUCAGCCUCGGAAGUGCGUCGGAAACUGGUCGGCUGGAGCGCGAUAGAGGAGGGUGGAAUUCCUGGUGUAGCGGUGAAAUGCGUAGAUAUCAGGAGGAACACCGGCGGCGAAGGCGGCCCUCUGGAUCGUUGCUGACGCUGAUACGCGAAAGCGUGGGGAGCAAACAGG